ACAAAAUUGGACUCUUUGGCGGAAACACGAGGAGCGAAGUUGUGCAAUUUGUUUUAUUUUUCUUUUUGUUUCUUUAGCUUUAAACGUUUAAUAAUGGUGGUCUAUUUAUUGUCUAGCAUCUCUAAAAGUGUAAAAUUGUGGGAAAACGAAAUAAAAUGGUGGACGUAGCUUCUCGGGUUCUUCCAGAAAGUCUCAGUUUAUUACCACAUGUUAUUGAGCGUUAAAUUCAUCAUCUCGUUUCAUUUAAUUUCAUCCAAAAUUGCUCAUCAUCCAAAUUGAUUAGUCUCAAAUAAAUAAACUUCAUUUCAUUUGAAGGCGUGGUAUCCGACGAUCCGAGCGAUCCGAUUGUACCUCAUCCCGCCGACAUUAUCAAAUUCGUUAUUGAAAUGCUUAAUACAUGAUAUUUACAUUUUCAGGGUAUAGGAAUGACAUGGUGUUAUGAAAAUUAAGUUCGCAAAAAUUCUAAUUUGCGUUUUUUUUCCUACCUAAGCUGAUAGCCUUGAGAGGCUUCACGUCAUUACGAAUCCUCCCGAUCCAUUAACGGUGCUUUUAGGUUUUUUUUUCGGGCCGGAAGCCGAACUUUCUACGAAGUCCCCGCACCUAGGGAACGCGCGGUGUAUGUAGGGACUUGACGAUAUGUAGAUGUUGAGAGCAGACCGCGUGCCCAAGGAGUUUUAGGGUCCUACCGCACUAAACGACUCCCCUGCACUCUUACACCCGACGUCCGGGGUCACAAUCCGAUCAGAGUAGGGGGUUCCAGCGGUCAACACCAGACUCGCGGCGCCACCCUGAGGACGCCCAACCUACGGGUCAUCGAGGCCAUAGUUGACGACCAACGACGACGGUCUCCGUGGUACGGCGGCCCAUCACCACCAGGCCGCACGAGCGUUGCCGCUGGUGUUCCGGAAUACCCCGCUGGGCCAGAACUAGCCUGCCGGGUCGGAACGCGAUACACCACCGACCGGGCUGCUCUUCUAGAGUAUGUUCAGCGACAACAGCGACCACGAACGCGAACCGCAUCGCAGGCCGCAGUCCCGACACGUCGUGCCAUCCUCCUGGUGCCAGUGCGCUAGAGUGACAGUAGCGUACGGCGCAGCCUCAAACCCCUCAGGUUGCCCCGUGACCAUCACCGGGAGGAGACCGCGGUGUUUCGCGGAGUUCCGCGGCCUCCUUCUGUGUUCCGGUUUGAGCCCCGUAAGUUCACCUACACGUUAAGGAGAAGCUGAAAUAGCCUCUCAAGGCUAUCAGUAUAGGUAGGGAAAAGAAAUGAGAGGCUAUGUGAGCGUAAUCUAACAAGUUGAUGAUCUGACGACGUUGCUAACACUGACCCUAGCAAGAGCAGUGCUUUGCAGAAUCUAAUCUAACUGGAUUGGAAACGCGACCCACUGAGAAGAUCCAGGGAGUCAAACUCAGUGGGCUGUGUCUGUGGGCUAAUUUACUUGCCGAGCCCUUCGUUGAACGAAGACGAUGACCGGAGAGACGAAGGCGCGACGGUACAGCCUACUCUUGUAUGUAGUGCGGAUAGAGCAGGAUCAGGCUGUGAAACGAGUGUACGUCGAUACGUACGUACGUACCAGAGGGACGCCGUCCCGUAGUGAGGCCCAAGUACCGCUGGUAAUGCUGCGAAAGGGGAUCUACGCGAGCUUCAAGUGCCAGAAUGGCAAGGUGUUGCGCAGCGCCGGAAUGAAUGACAUUUACUGUCGGAGGCCAAGUCCCAUUUCGGGGUGAUAGCGCCAGUGGAGUAGUAGUAGUAGUAGUAGUAGUAGUUAUUACUGUAUCUUGUAAGCCUGCACGCCUAUGUACCAUCACCCUACCUGCCAUAAAGCAGUAAUGCGUUUCUUUUUAAGUAGCAGCCGUAAAACUGAGACUUAGGGUUCAUGUCUCAAAGUGUGUGGCGGUAUUUAUGUCGUUGGUAUCUAUAAGCUCCGGUAACCACUUAGCACCAGGUGGGUCGUGACCUCGUCCAUCCAUGCAAGCAAUAAAAAAAAAUCCGCCCCAAAAAAUUUUUCAGCCAAAUACUAGUACUAAAUUUGAAACGAACGAUGAAACGAAAAAUUAAAAAAAUAAUUUAUUGAUAUAGCAGAUACAUUAUAUUAACGUUGGGUACUAUAAAAACACAAAAUUAGACACUUUGUGCCGUAAUAAUAUCACAUGACAUCUUGCACAAUUUGGUCCCAUUUAAAAAUUGAUAGCAUUAUUUAAAUAAUGCUUUAUUUUGUUUUACACUUUAAUGAUAAUGUAAACAUAUAGCUAUAAUAACAAUUUCUUAAUGAGUACCUAUCUACCAAUUUAGUUUUGAAGUUAUACUUCUAGCUAAUUGGUUGGUUGAGUUUUUAUUUCUAAGCUAAAUUGAGCAGACGGAGUUCGCUUGGAAGGUUGAUUUCGCUUGAUUUUUAUUUUAAAUAUAUACAAUAAUAAUCUACUUAAAUAAACUACCUACUUAUAAAAUCAAUUUGAAUUCGUAAAAUAAUAUUUUAGUCGCGUCGGAGAAAUAUAUAAUAAGAGUGUCCAAGAAGAAUCUAGAUAUGGUAGAAAGUUCUAGAAAACAUUAUUUUUUCGAUGAGAUUAAGAGUUCAAUUAAAUUUCACGACCAUCGGCUUGACUUUGAGUCUUUUGGCCAAUUCUGCACUUGAUUCAAUCUGCUGUUUCACAUAGGAUACAGUUCCGUUCGCGUCAGUUUCUUUUGCCGCUUCCUUCUCUUUAUCUCCAGGCGCCAUGACUGGUAAGUUAGGAUCGGUC